rnacentral:tRNA from 1 species
UGGGGUAUCGCCAAGCGGUAAGACGCGGAUUCUGAUUCCGGCAUUCCGAGGUUCGAAUCCUCGUACCCCAGCCA